rnacentral:rRNA from 1 species
GACGAACGCUGGCGGCGUGCCUAAUACAUGCAAGUAGAACGCACAGUUUAUACCGUAGCUUGCUACACCAUAGACUGUGAGUUGCGAACGGGUGAGUAACGCGUAGGUAACCUGCCUGGUAGCGGGGGAUAACUAUUGGAAACGAUAGCUAAUACCGCAUAAUAUUGAUUAUUGCAUGAUAAUUGAUUGAAAGAUGCUAUUGCAUCACUACCAGAUGGACCUGCGUUGUAUUAGCUGGUAGGUGAGGUAACGGCUCACCUAGGCGACGAUACAUAGCCGACCUGGGAGGGUGAUCGGCCACACUGGGACUGAGACACGGCCCAGACUCCUACGGGAGGCAGCAGUAGGGAAUCUUCGGCAAUGGACGAAAGUCUGACCGAGCAACGCCGCGUGAGUGAAGAAGGUUUUCGGAUCGUAAAGCUCUGUUGUAAGAGAAGAACGGGUGUGAGAGUGGAAAGUUCACACUGUGACGGUAUCUUACCAGAAAGGGACGGCUAACUACGUG